AGAGUUUGGACGCAUUUUGUGCUACUCUUUACUGCAAGCAUGAUGGAGAAGUGGAAUGAUUCUUGCACAAGAUUUUGGCGAUGGGGCAGCAAGAAACCAAAGUGAGUGGAAAAUGAAUGAUUGAACUUGAACAGAGAUAUAGGGCUGAGUUUAAAGACAUUGAUAUUUCAGGUUGCAGAUGCUUUGCUGCAAUGGAACUGAUGAUGGUGCAGCUUUCCAGCAAGAUGCAGAAACCAGUUCGACAAGAAGUCAAAGUUGAUAUAUAUGAUUAUUGCUUGGUUGUGAACUUGGACAUAUUAUUGCCUUUGGACAUCAUGAACAAUCGACUUUCUUGUCGACUCCCUCUGAGAAGUAGUCUGAAACAUGUCAGCUAACUCAACCAAAGACAAAGAGAGUUGAAGGCAGGUGGCAAAAGAAUGGAUGACCUAGUCAGAAAAUAUGAAUACGAUCUCUAUUAAUGUGGAAGGAAAGUGAUGAUGCAGAGUCCACAGUAGACAAGGUUUCUCAAGUUGCUCCAUACUUGAUUGUAUGUGGCAAUCCAGCCAAACCAAGCCAAGUUAUUGGCAUCCGAGCUCAUCAUCAUGUUCGAAAUUCUGUGCAGCAACAGCAUAUGCCGUCCAGCGCUAUUACUUGCUGUAAUUUAUGUUUUCAAUACAAAUUUUCUACAAUGUUUAGCAACUUUUUACUGAUGCCUAGACGUCAUGUUACUGAGAUGUACUUCAGCUCCAGUGAUAUCUAGUUUCCUUAGCUGGAUUGCAAUGAGGAACUUUGUUUGAUAAAUUGUGUUUUGCUUUUUGUUUAGCGCGUUGACUCAGUAUUUUUGGUUUAAAUGUUUAAAUACAAG